CCAGGGGAUCCCGUACCUGAGCAACCGCCCGGGCGCGUGGCUGAGGCUUCCCAGAUGCCCCGAGAGGCACGAAAUGAAUGGUGUGAUUGAGGAGGCCAAGCACUGGGGCAAAGGGAAGCCGCUGCUGGCCCCUCUGUGAGCUAAAGGAAGUGGCAAGGUGAAGAAGUCCAGAAUCUUAAGUGGAGACCAGUUUUGCCCCAAGCACAAAGUAGACAGAAGUACAAAAACUUCCUGUUUGCAGCUCCUGAGAACGUGUUCCAGUGAUGGAACCUCAAAGGAAUUUGUGCAUUCCUCUCCCACAAGUGUCCAGGGCAAAAGUGCUGGGAGAAUGAGUUCACAGAAGAAGCAAGAAUGGCAGAGCUCUGUGAGAUGAGCCAGUGUUCAAGAGAAAGAAAAAUAACUAAGUGAGCCAACACACUAGUUUUCCUCCAUAUAAAAAAGUUUGGGUAAAAGAGCUACUCAGAACUAUAAGCCACACGUGUAACUUUCCCAAGACACACACUGGGCAAGCUUACACAGAGACUAUAACCUGUCCCAGUUGGUAUGUCCAAAGCCUAGUCUCCUUACUUCCUGCCAGGAGUUCCAGGUCUGUCAGAGGACUCCAUUACUGAAGUUCACCUGGAUGAGAGGAAGGGAACGGUUUCCCAGUUAGGACAAAGUCCAGUCUCCAGAGGGACUGUGAUCUGUGUGUGCAUCCACACACCAACAUUUUGAUUUGACUGAAAGGGUACAGGUGGGCAGGGCGACGCAGAAGACUCCCAACUUUACAUGAUGAGACAGUGGAGCAGCAGCCAGCCAGUUUGAAGUUUGGGCAUGUUUGGGAUGCAGCCCUGAUUGUGUAUAAAAGCUUGGAGGUGUGGCGAUGGAUCUGAACCAAGAGAAGUUAUUGGACUGAGCCUGGAGAGAUCAGUAGGCCUGAAUAUUCAGGUGAAAAUAUACACAAUAAAGACAAAUGUUCUUGGCAAAAUCAGAAAACUGCUUGGGGAUACACAGCUCAGUAAUAGAGUGCUUGCCCACAUGCUCAAGGGCCAGGAUUUGAUCUCUAGCACCAGGCAAUAGAAGAGCAAAAAAUAGAACUUAACAGGCAUGUGUCACAUAAUUCUUCCCCUGUUGUUAAACUGACUGUGGAGACAGUGAAAGGAUCUGCUUCUGGAUGUCACCUUAACCGAGAAAGGAAGGAGGCACUUGUCCAGUCUUCAGGAGCACCCGGCCUCAGGCAGAACAUUCUAGGAAAGCUCAAAGAUGUCUUGGGAACUUCUGCAAUGAGUCCAGUGACUAUGGCGGAGGAAAGAGCCUGCUUGAUGGCCUCUGGCAGUCAGAGCUGAUCCAACAAGGCCUGACACUAGAAAUCCAAAAGCCUGAGCCCCUCUAACCAGCCCGUCUUCCUUACAGGUACUCUAUUCCACAAACUGAGCACAAAG
rnacentral:lncRNA from 1 species